rnacentral:rRNA from 2 species
UACCUUAUGAUAAGCACCGGCUAACUCCGUGCCAGCAGCCGCGGUAUAUAUCGGAGGGUGCAAGCGUUACUCGGAAUCACUGGGCGUAAAGGAUGCGUAGGCUGGAAAUCAAGUCGAAAGUGAAAUCCAACGGCUCAACCGUUGAACUGCUUUCGAAACUGGUUACCUAGAAUAUGGGAGAGGUAGAUGGAAUUAGUGGUGUAGGGGUAAAAUCCGUAGAUAUCACUAGGAAUACCGAUUGCGAAGGCGAUCUACUGGAACAUUAUUGACGCUGAGGCAUGAAAGCGUGGGGAGCAAACAGGAUUAGAUACCCUGGUAGUCCACGCCCUAAACGAUGCACACUAGUUGUUGCGAUGCUAGUCAUUGCAGUAAUGCACUUAACAGAUUAAGUGUGCCGCCUGGGGAGUACGGUCGCAAGAUUAAAACUCAAAGGAAUAGACGGGGACCCGCACAAGCGGUGGAGCAUGUGGUUUAAUUCGAAGAUACACGAAGAACCUUACCUAGCCUUGAUAUCCUAAGAAUCCUGUAGAGAUAUGGGAGUGCUAGUUUACUAGAACUUAGAGACAGGUGCUGCACGGCUGUCGUCAGCUCGUGUCGUGAGAUGUUGGGUUAAGUCCCGCAACGAGCGCAACCCUCGUGAUUAGUUGCUAACAGUUCGGCUGAGCACUCUAAUCAGACUGCCUUCGUAAGGAGGAGGAAGGUGAGGACGACGUCAAGUCAUCAUGGCCCUUAUGGCUAGGGCUACACACGUGCUACAAUGGCUAGGACAAAGAGACGCGAUACUGCGAAGUGGAGCAAAUCUUAAAACCUAGUCUCAGUUCGGAUUGGAGUCUGCAACCCGACUCCAUGAAGCUGGAAUCGCUAGUAAUCGUAGAUCAGAUAUGCUACGGUGAAUACGUUCCCGGGCCUUGUACACACCGAUCCAUAUG